rnacentral:lncRNA from 1 species
CAUGUUGAUCAUAUCAACAUGUUUUUAUACCACAUCUAAUGUAUGUAUUAAACAAUAGAUCAGAUCUAUUACCUUGCAAGUUAGAUGCUCUAACCUCGCUGAUCUGGGCUUAAGGAUGAUAUUGCAAGCCGCACAUGCAUCCGACCUCUAGGAGUCGUCUACACGAGCCCACGAAUCUCGAUCAGAAGUCCUGCUUCAGGAAAUC